AAGAAUGCGAUAUGCAAUGUGAAUUGCAGAACCACGAAUCAUCGGAUCUUUGAACGCAACUGGCGCUGAUUUCAAUCAGCAUGCUUGUUUCAGUGUGCCCAAACAACUAAACCAUCUCAAUGUGAGAGAAGUUCUCUCAUGAAGUACAUGCUCCCUGCAGCAGUCACAUUUAUUGUGUGUUGUGCGGAAACCAAAAGCCUUAUUCGCACCUGAAAUCAAGUAAGAUGACCCGCUGGACUUAA
rnacentral:misc_RNA from 1 species